rnacentral:rRNA from 1 species
UACGGGGGGGGCAAGCGUUGUUCGGAAUUACUGGGCGUAAAGGGCUCGUAGGCGGCCAACUAAGUCAUACGUGAAAUCCCUCGGCUUAACCGGGGAACUGCGUCUGAUACUGGAUGGCUUGAGAUUGGGAGAGGGAUGCGGAAUUCCAGGUGUAGCGGUGAAAUGCGUAGAUAUCUGGAGGAACACCGGUGGCGAAGGCGGCAUCCUGGACCAACACUGACACUGAGGAGCGAAAGCCAGGGGAGCAAACGGG